UACAGAGGGUGCAAGCGUUAAUCGGAAUUACUGGGCGUAAAGCGUACGUAGUCGGUUAUUUAAGUCGGGCGUGAAAGCCCCGGGCUCAACCUGGGAAUUGCGUUCGAUACUGGAUAGCUAGAGUUCGGCAGAGGGAAGCGGAAUUUCGGGUGUAGCGGUGAAAUGCGUAGAUAUCCGAAGGAACAUCAGUGGCGAAAGCGGCUUCCUGGACCAGAACUGACGAUCAGGCACGAAAGCGUGGGGAGCAAACAGG
rnacentral:rRNA from 1 species